UACGUAGGGUGCGAGCGUUAAUCGGAAUUACUGGGCGUAAAGCGUGCGCAGGCGGUUCGUUGUGUCGGCGGUGAAAGCCCCGGGCUCAACCUGGGAAUGGCCGUUGAAACUGGCGAACUGGAGUGUGGCAGAGGGGGGUGGAAUUCCGCGUGUAGCAGUGAAAUGCGUAGAGAUGUGGAGGAACACCAGUGGCGAAGGCGGCUCUCUGGUCUGUAACUGACGCUGAGGCGCGAAAGCGUGGGGAGCGAACAGG
rnacentral:rRNA from 1 species